AGAAUUAUACUUGAAGAUCUCCUUCCCUCCCAACCAUCCUUCCUUUAGCUCCUCCUUCACAGAGCUGAGUGAAGAGUCCAGAUGGAGCUCUUCACAGAUGGUGGCAUAUGAGGAAUUUAGAAGUCAGGAAACACCCAGAUUUUCAAGGAAAAGACUCUUCCAGACGUCUCUGGAACACAAUUACACAAGAUUCUAGGGCACCCACCAUACACAUUCUUCCUUGUUCCAAGGGUACUGUUUCCUCAACCAUACUCCUUCUUGCUCAGGAAAGAUCUUCAAAAAGGAGACUACAGUUUCUUCAGUCCUCAGCCAUGAGCUUGGCUCCUGUCCCCAUGCUUGUGUUUAUGAUACUUUUUGCCCCGAGAGGAACCGGAGCCCAGUCAGUGACCCAGCCUGAUGUCCACAUCACUGUCUCUGAAGGAGCCCCUCUGGAGCUGAGGUGCAACUACUUGUCUUCUGUUCAGGUGUAUCUCUUCUGGUACGUGCAGCACCCCAACCAAGGACUCCGGCUUCUCUUGAAGUACAUAUCAGGGGACAUCCUGGUGAAAGGCACCAAAGGUUUUGAGGCUGAAUUUAGGAAGAGUGAAAAGGCCUUCCACCUGAGGAAACCCGCGGUCCAGUGGAGCGAUGCGACCAAGUACUUCUGUGCUGUACUUCUGUACUGUGACACAGUGCCUGGGACUGCAGGGGGAGCUGAACACCAACUUCUGCUGAAUGUGAGGCUUCCAGUGACUCAAGGGAUCAACCUGGGGCACUUUCAGUGAGACCUUAUGUUCUAUGGUGACAAGAUGGACAGAGGGGACUAAACUGCUUAGUUCUUGUGCAGACAUGGUUCUAAUCUUCCAAGAGUCAGGAUUCAUGAGGAAAGGACAACUUAUGAAAAAACAAACAAACAAACACAAUGUCACCAACAGACUGGAGACUGGAACUUGCUCAGAGAAUCACUUUGGAUGGGACAGUGGCAGGGAUGGGUUUUGUGCUGCGAUUGCCAUUUGACUUGUGACCAGAGAGGAGAGUACUAUGACAGUCUACGCCGAUGGUUGUAAUCCACUAGGGACACUCUAAGCUUCCCCCUAACUGAGGAACUUUCCUUAAGAUCCUAGAUAAUUCCAUCUGUGUGUGUGCCUAUUUGAAAAACUGAAUGGAAAGAGGAAGGUUAAUAUUAGAGGAAGCGACUGAGGAAAAUGUGAUAAAAUAAAAUCACCAAGCACAGGGAGAAUUUUUAGUGAAUGCUUCUGUCAUUUACUCAGCUCUUUCAUGUUAACAUCAUCUCAAAAAGAUGGAGUUAAGAUUUCCAUCAAUCCAUCACUGGAUGAGGUUGAGGAAGGUCGGGGCUAUGCUAAUAUGACAGAGAUGAUUACUAGAGUGGAGUGAGAGUAGGAAUCUGUUAGGGUCAAGUCAGCUGGAGGCUCUAGUAGUGAAUAUUUAUAUUUUCCUUUACCUAACUUUUGUAACUAAGAAUUCCCACUCUUCUUCUUCUCCUCCUCCUCCUUCUUCUUCUUCUUUUUCUGGAGAGAUAGAGACAGAGAGCAGGGGAGUGGCAGAGAGAGAGGCAGAGAGAGAAUUCCAUGAAGGCUACAUGUUGUCAGUGCAGAUUCUGGUGCAGGGCUUGAUCUGAAGGCCAUGAGAUUAUGAUUUGAGCUGAAAUAGAGAGUCAGACACUUGAACCACCUGAGCCACCUGGAGUUCCCAAAUUUCCCUUUUUUAAAAGAUACUAAUCAUGUUGGAUUAAAUUCCAUUCAAAUAACCUCAUAUAACUUCAUUAUUUCUGUAAAGACAAUUUGUCUAGGUAAGGUCAUAUUCUAAUUUGCUAGAGAUUAAGACUCCAAGUCCCCCCCCCCCCCCCGUUGGUGCGUGUUGGGGGGGGGCACAGUUCAACCCAUAACACCACAGCCAUUAACAAUUACUUUCAUUCUAAAGACUGAUACAUGGGAAAACUACUGUUUCUUUCUCUACUUGCUUGAUAUCCAGUAACGUUCUCCCUGGGCAAGAUAAUAGAUAGCAACACAGAGAUAUCAAGUUACAUUUGUUGACCUGAACAGUAAGAUCAUUUUUCUUGUGAUUUCCUAUGUUAAACAUAGUUUGCAUUUGUAUAGAACAUUAAGGCUUAGAGAGAAUUUUCUUAUGCAUACUUAAUUGAUCUUUUAAUCUCUCUCAUAGAGAUGAAGAGAACAAAUGCUUUGCACUAAAUACACAACUAGCAAGUCCUGAGAAUCACUUACAAUUCUCUUUGUCGAAAUCCUCAUUCAGGGUCUUUUUUUCCUUUGCAAAAAAUAUACUCCAUAGUCCAUGUGACCAAGCCCAACCACUUGCUACUCUGUUUAACAAAGAUUAUAAUUUCCAUAAAUUGCUGGGUCUGAGACAUACUGACUUUUGAGAAACAUUUCUUCUGUCCAGGUAUAGUGACCACUUGGGGUCGCUGUUGUAAUUAGUUGACUCUAUUUUGCUUUAUUUAUGUACAAGGUGUUCUAGAGUCUUUAGCUUCCCCUGAAAUACUUCUUUUCUCCUCCAUUUGCUACUGCGGGCAAGUUGGUUAUUUAUUCAUGACCUGUGAUAUCUAAAAUGUUACUAGAAGUCAUCCGCAUUCACUAAUGUUUACUUGAGGAAAUGGAAAAAUUGUUCACUUAGAAUAAAUUGGGCAAUUCUAGACCUAAAAGUCACCUCCUAAAUAUUUUCUAGUGAUUUUCCAUUCGCAUAUUAUAUGAGCCAAGGAAUCACACCACAUCAAUGCGAGUAUCUAGUAUGUUUUGAUUAUUGUAGUUGGCAGAUUCCAUUAACAUUAGGUGUUUUGGGGAUUUGUCUCUUUUCCUAAAUGGUGUUUGUUGUUGUUGUGUUGUAUGUGCAUGAGUUAUUACUAUUAUUGAAUUUAUAUUGGAUAUGUCUUGAUGGAAGAGUGAAUGGCAUUAUUUUAAAAAAUCAUGUGUAAUAAAAGCAAAAAUGAAGUCUUGGGACCUCAUGAAGAUAAAAAGCUUGUGCACAGCAGAGGAAAUAAUCAACAAACUAAAAGGCAAGCGAUGGAAUGGGAGAGGAUAUUUGCACUGACAUAGCAGAUAAAGGUUAGUAUCCAAAAUCUAUAAAGAACUUAUCAAACUCAACGCCCCCCCUCCAAAUAAUCCAGUGUAGAAAUGGGGGAAACACAUGGACAGACACUUCUCCAAAGAGGACAUGCGGAUGGCUAACAGACACAUAAAAAGAUGCUCGACAUCACUCAUCAUCAGCUAAAUACAAAUCACAACCACAAUGAGCUCUCACCUCACAUCUAUCAGAAUGGCUAAAAUUAACAACGCAGGAAACAACAGAUGUUGGCAAGGAUGUGGAGAAAGGGGAGCACUUGGGCACUAUUGGCGGGGAUGCAAACUGGCGCAGCCACUCUGAACAAAAUUUUUUUGAGAUUCCUCAAAAAAUUAAAAAUGAAGCUGCCGGGGCGCCUGGGUGGCUCAGUCGGUUAAGCGUCCGACUUCGGCUUAGGUCACGAUCUCGUGGUCCGUGAGUUCGAGCCCCGCGUCGGGCUCUGGGCUGAUGGCUCUGAGCCUGGAGGCUGCUUCCGAUUCUGUGUCUCCCUCUCUCUCUGCCCCUCCCCCGUUCAUGCUCUGUCUCUCUC